rnacentral:lncRNA from 1 species
UUUUUUCUUUUUAACUCUAUGCUCCACUGGAAAUCUGAGCUUCCUUGGCAGAUGUCUAGUCUAUUUGGCAGGAAAACAAAAGAUGGUUGUAAUCCUUUGGCAUUUCUACUUAGAUCAUAGCCCUAGUAACAAUUAGCUCUAUAUUUUCAAACAUGACUUAUGUAACACUUCACUGAAGAAUUUGAAGUGUUGCAUUGAAGUUGGGGAGAAAGUAAUAGAAAUAUAGGCAAACUGGAGCCAAAUUAGGAAUGAUUAUGUUUGUGUGAUUGCCUGUUUACGUUAGAUUUUAUUUCAAACAAUCUAAUACUUAGGUAUUUUAUAUAUAAGCUAUAAUGAAACAAUGAAUGCAGAAGUAGGCAUUUUAUUUUAUUUUUUAGAUAUUUUAUUUAUUUAUCUGAAAGAGAGAGAGAAAGAGACAGAGCAAGAGCAAGGGGGAGGAGGCAGAGGGAGAGGGAGAAGCAGACUCCCUGCUGAGCAGGGAGCCCAAGGUCCUCAGGCUCUAUCCCAGGACCCUGAGAUCAGGAUGUGAGCGUGAGGCAGAUGCUUCACUGAAUGAGCCACCCAGAUGCCCCGGUAGGCAUUUUAAAAUGAAAGGGAAAUGAAACAUAAGCACAGGAGGAAUUUUGUACAACUAUAUUGCUUUUAAAUUAGGUAAGCCUGAAUUUGAAUAUUAACUCCAUCUGUCAGAUCCUGUACCAACUUGGUAGGAAAAGUUUUCCAAACUCUCUAAGCAUUGAUGUUUCUAUGUACAAAAUGGAGCCAAUAAUUCAUAUCUGUAAUUUUGAGACUAGUGAAAUAAUGUAUGUAAAACACUUAGGAUACUAAUUUGUAUGCAAUAAACUUCAAUAAUUACUGGUGUCAUAGGAAGUAAAAUGGGACUUUGUUUUGUUUUCAGAAGAAAACCCAAGACAACAAAUAGAUGGCAAAUAUUAUAUACUCCAAAGUGAAGUGCUAGUUCACUUACCCUUGAUUUUCAAACCACUUUAGGUACCAUUAGCUGAGCACAUAUCAUCACCUUAUAAGUUUACAAGGAAGCCAAGAGAACAGUUGGACCACAAAGAGGAUUUUAUCAGAAAGAUACAAAUGUGCUGCAAGUUCCCUCCAAACAGUCCUCAAAGAGGGCAGUGAUUGUUUUUCCUUUAUAUCAAGACCUUCAUAUGUGGACAUUUGAGUCUGUAGAUUAAAGUGGGCUAUUUCUGACUCAUAUCUGAAGAAAUGAAUUUAUGGGUGGUUAAAUGAAGGAGUCUGUGACAGCAAAAUACAGGACUGAGAAAUAAUUUCAUUCCUACUAAAAUGGACCAAACACACAUGUUUUUCAUGGAUCACAUUGACUAUUUUCAUGUAGACCAUCUUAAGAGCAAGACUAUCUGGGAUUGUCUAUAACCCUCCAAAAAGAUUUUCCUGGAGUAGUGAGGUGAGCUCAGCUGAUUGAUUUCACAAUGGUACAACUUUAGGAGCUGAUGAAUUUAAGUGAUGCCCUAGAAUAAAGACAUUUAGCUUUGUUAAGAGAAAUGUAAGUGAGAGAUCUCAAGAAAUUGGAAAUUGAGGGGGAGAAGGAAGGUUCCUGAGGAACACUCAAAUUCCUAUUUGUAAUGAUUUGUCAUUAAAUGCUUAUGACAUUACCAGGCAAAUAAUAUCUUCCCUAGAAUUCGCCUCUUUACCCCUUCCCUACUGGAGGAGACUGAGCCUGCAUAAUGAGCAGAGAGUCAAAAUGCACAAAAUGGAGAAUUAGAAACAAAAUGAAAAAAAAAAAUCCUUUCCCUAUACUUAUUGGCUUCCUACCUGGAAUAGACUCUUUCUAGACAAUAAUAGAAUUUUGGCUAUUAUACAAUAUUAAAUAUUUUGGUUGCUUAAAUAAAAUUAUUUUGUAUUCUUUAAUUAUUUAAGAAAAUCAUUGGAUAUCAUUCCAGAAAGUUCUCCCAUACACAUCCUUAAUCACCUCUCAGAGAUAGCUAUUAUUCUAUUUUUCCCUACAUUUGCCUGUUUGAGAAUUCAAUAUACAUAGACUCAUACAGCACAUACUUCUUUGAAUAAGGUUUCUUUCAUGCAGUGUGUUUUUGAGAUUCAUUCGUUCUUAUUGUUAUACGAUCAAUAGUUUAUUCCCUCUUGUUGAUAAUUAGUAUUCCUUUGUAUUUCUCAAUUUGUUUAUCCAUUUACCAGUGAUGGACACCAUGACUAUUUCUAGUUCGAGGCUAUGAUGAAUAAACCUGCCAUGGUUAUUCUUUUACAUGUAUUUUGUAGAUACAUGUUUCAUUUUCUCGGGUAAAAACCUAGGAGUAGAAUUGACUACUCAGAGGGUAGGUAUAUAUUUAGUUUUAUAAAAAUUUGCAGCAAAUUUUUCCAAAGUGGUUGGACCUUUUUUUACUUCCAUCAACAAUGAAUGAGAGCUCUGGUAUCUCAAAAUCUAGGCUAGCAUUUUAUAUUAUAAGCUGUAUGUUUGUGUCUGUAUGUGUGUGUUUUAAUUUUGAACACACAGGUAUACAUGUGUGUCCAUAUAUUUAUUCUUCUACAUAGCAAUUCUUAAAAAGUGAAAAGUAAAUGCAAGGAAAAUGAGCACAUCGAUCGCACCAGAUAAAAUACAUUAUAGCUAAAGAUGUUUUACGAUAUAAAAAAAUAAACACUCAGAAUUACUGCUAGAAGACAGGGCAUCAUCAAAAUAUACACAAUAAACCUUUAAAUGGGCCUUAGCAGUAUAAGCUAAAAAAAAUCUUUUACAUUUAUUUUUUUUUCAAAUUUCUACCACCUUCACUUCUAAAUAUAUAUACAAACAGGCUCUAGAAACAUUAUGCCUAUGUUUAAAACAAAAAGAAAAUGAAAACUUUUGCUCAUGAAUAGCCACUUUCUAAAACCUAAGAUCUCGGGGUAGGAAGUUGAUGGAUCAUUCUAGAAUGCUAGUUUCCUAAAUAUUUGCUUUAUCAGGUAAUUGUCCCUCUAUCCAUCCCUUGAUCUCUUCACUUACCUGGAUACCACCAUAUCUUAUUCUUAAAUGAGGCAAUUGCAAGUUUUCCAGUUAAUUUUGUAUAACUUCCUUUAAAAGCUUAUUCCAUAAGGAAGCAAACUUCCCCAUCCUCAGCAUCUCCAGAUGGCCUCAAUGAGACCCGCUGCCAUUCCAAGUGUUCAAUACCCCCAAAUGAUCUAUUACACCAUGGUGUAUUAUAAUAAAUAAAGGUCAAGAGAUCAUAAAAACAAAACCAUAUGUCCAACCAUGUCAUGUGUACCUUGGCAGUGAGAAUGUAAGGACUGAGUCAAAUUCUAUCCUGCUUGCAAAGAAAGUAGAUCAAAAUUAGAGGAAAAAAGAUGGUGAGAAAUGUCAUUUGAAUGAAUAUUUAAAGGACAGCAAUGUCUUAACUUAUCCAUAAAUAUUAGCUUUUUAAAUUCAAAUACAUAUUUUCUGACCCUGCACAGUUAAGAUGUUUCUGCCAAACAUUUGCUGAACCUUUCUGAUGAGAUUCUAUAGAGGAAGACAAAGAUAAUAAUUAUUACAUGAUACAAUACCUGAAUAUAUGAAAAUGUACUGAUUUCUGUGGGUUCACCACUGGUGAGUGGUGACUGAUUUACUUCUGAGAGGCAUGACCUGAAUAGCCCUAUGGCAAGAGGAUGGACAGCAGGGUAGCCACAAACCUUUAUGAACUUUUCUGAGAAUUAUGAGAGGCCCUAUGGGAAGAUAUGGCCCUAAUUUAUUUGACAAGUGAAACAUAGAUGGGAUUUCAGGCUCAAAUUUCAAUCUUGACCAUGAACCUUAUGUAGUGAAUAAUCUGAUCAACUGUAUAUGAUGACAUUGACAUUGGGAGGGUGGGGUAAUAGGGUGGGAUGUGUGUAUUAAUAGAUACAUAUAAUUUGAUGUAUUAAUAGAUACAUAUAAUUAAUCUCUUAUGUAGUUUUUAAAGCUUUUAUUUAUUUAUUCAUGAUAGACAUAGAGAGAGAGAGAGAGAGAGAGAGAGGCAGAGACCCAGGCAGAGGGAGAAGCAGGCUCCAUGCCGGGGGCCGAUGUGGGACUCGACCGGGACUCCAGGAUCGCGCCCUGGGCCAAAGGCAGGCACUAAGCUGCUGAGCCACCCAGGGAUCCCUCUCUUAUGUACCUUUGUUUUGAAUGUUUUGAUUUAAAUACUGAAGUUUUACUCUCACUAUUACCUUUGGGAACAAUACAAUAAGUUUUCAGUAUUUCUAUAUCAAAGAGUCUAGGAGAAAGUAAACAAAAUGAAAAAAAUAUUUCAUUAUAUUUGAUAAGAUAUAAUACUGAUAUAUAUUGGUAUAUACUGAUAAGAAUUAUAUAAUAAUUUACAUAUGCAUAACAGCAAAUGUAUACAGUUUACAUUUGAAUGGAACCAAGUUUUGGAAUUCUUUUCCAAAUACUUUUACUAUAUACCUUAUGUGAUAAAUAGGCAAAGCUUAAUGCCUUUUAGACACAAGGUCAACUCCUGAAUUUUUCCCAUUUUAAUUGCCUGAUUUUGCAUACAUUUCUUCUCUCAGCCUCACAUUCCUUAUUUGUAAAAUAAAAGUGAUAACACCUUCAUUACUGGAUUGCGUGGAGUCUUAGGGAUUGAGAAUAAUGAUUUAACCCACCACAAGUAUAAGGGUGUAAAAUCAUGAGUUUUGGUUUGCAUAUAUUUAAGUUCCCUUUGAGAUACUCCUGUAGCGAGGUAAACUUGUCAAUGGGGUAGUUCAGAGUAAAGGCCUAAGGAAAAACACCAUCCUAAUGAAUACUUAGGUUCAGUCUAUGGCAUUAGAAAGAUAAUACACCAUUCACAACGAUGUAUAAUUAAUUAGUAAGAAAAUAUGAGCGCUGACAUAUGAGCAAUACUUUCUCCAUAUUUUCUAAUUUUCCAAUGAUUCCUGGCUGAUGCUUUAUCUGAAAUAUCAAAUAUGUAUGUAUGUAUGUAUGUAUGUAUGUAUGUACGUAUGCAAGUGAUUUAUUUUCCUACUUUGCAAGAGUACUAAAUUCCCCUACUGAGGAGUCUUAUAUUUGUAAUCAAUACUUGCUUAUAGGCAUUAAUUCAACUAUGGAUCUGAGACGAAGACUCCACAUCUAGGGGUGGUAACUGCAUUCAUUUCAGAUAUGGAAACACUGUGAUUUGAACUUCUCUCUCAUCUAGGCAGUAAAAGGCUCAGAAAUGUCUUAUCUUGUAAGGGCAGUGAUGUAAAAUAAACUAUGAUUUUGAAAAAUAAGCUAUUAGCUAGAUUUAAAAGAAAUUGUGAGCCUAUUUUUUAUUUCUCCUUUAAGCAUGCUUUCUUUUUUUUUUUUUUUUUUUUUUUUUGAAUGCCUCAAUAACAGCUUGGUGUCCAGAGGCAGCCAUUUCACCACUCAUAUGUGUCUAUCAACAAACAGUGCGCUGCUCCUGUCAGUGUUUUCUGCAGUAGAGAUCAUUAGCUCUACUUCAGGUGUUCAAUUUAAAUUUCUCAUUAUAACUAUUUUAUUUUAUUUUUUUGCUUUUAUCACUUUCUUUCUCCCAUUAGAUGUAUUCAUCUUCAUUUUUAUUUUUCAGAAUAAAAAAUGAGAUGAAAAACUUCAUACCUAUUUGCCAAAAGAUUAAUUAUAUUUAACAUAAUGGAGGUAAACAUUAGUUUACCCUCAUCUUUUGGAUAUUUUUUUUAAAUUAAAUAACAUGAAAUCUAAUUUCUAAAAAAAUAAAAAAAAAAAAAAAAAAAA